rnacentral:rRNA from 1 species
UACAGAGGGGGCAAGCGUUGUUCGGAAUUACUGGGCGUAAAGGGCGCGUAGGCGGCCUUCUAAGUCGAACGUGAAAUCCCCGGGCUCAACCCGGGAACUGCGUCCGAUACUGCCAUGACUCGAGUCCGGUAGGGGAGUGCGGAAUUCCUGGUGUAGCGGUGAAAUGCGCAGAUAUCAGGAGGAACACCCGUGGCGAAGGCGGGUCCCUGGGACGGUACUGACGCUGAGACGCGAAAGCGUGGGGAGCGAACAGG